rnacentral:misc_RNA from 1 species
UCAAAAAAUCUUGGAAAGCUGUCAGUCUGAGCGUUAGCAAGUAAAAUUAGUUAAAACUUUCAACAACGGAUCUCUUGGUUCCGGCAUCGAUGAAGAACGCAGCGAAAUGCGAUAAGUAAUGUGAAUUGCAGAAUUCCGUGAAUCAUCGAAUCUUUGAACGCACAUUGCGCCCUCUGGUAUUCCGGGGGGCAUGCCUGUUCGAGCGUCAUUUCAACCCCUCAAGCCCGGCUUGUGUGAUGGACGACCGUCCGACCUCCUCUUUCGGGGGCGGGACGCGCCCGAAAAGCAGUGGCCAGGCCGCGAUUCCGGCUUCCUGGGCGAAUGGGCAGUCAAACCAGCGCCCUCAGGACCGGCCGCUCUGGCCUUCCCCCAAAUCUCUCUGAGAUAUUUUU